rnacentral:lncRNA from 1 species
CAAUUCCAACUUCUCCCAGCUCCCAGGGGCAACAGUUCUUGGUGUGAGGAACAUGGACUUGCCCUUCCCUCUGCACCAGCUUGACCUGGCCAGUUCCUUGUGGCUAACAGAGUGGACAUCUGUCACUGUCUGCCUGGGGCAGGGUGAAGACCAGGAGAUGUCUGAGAAAGUCUCCCUGGAGCUGGAAAGUGGCAUUACUGAAACAUUCCAGAAACGAGCUGAAGUCACUCAAGGAAGGCCUUGGGAACUAGGGUUUGGCCCGGUGGGCAGCGCAUGGUAGACAUUCACACGCGCUCCAGCACUGAACACUGCGACCUGGCAGGAAGAGGUGUUAGAGGAAUUCUGUGAAAGGUUUGCAGAGGUCAUUGACCCAGGAUGCUGCUGGAACCCCAAGCAGGAGGGGAGGUCCCAGGAAUAGCACAUCACCUGUCCUGCAUAAAGGGAACCACUGGGAGCCCGCACCAGAAAACACCAUGCGCUUCUUACUCCUGCUGCAAGGGAAGAGGAGAGACCCGGAGAAGGUUGCAACAAGAGCAGCUGAGAUGACCACGAUUAAGGAGAUGUGGCUGCAGAGGUCAGACUCCAAAAGGACUCUCAAAGACUUCAUCCUUAGGACGGACCUUCAGGCACCCAGGCUGCCUACUGACCUCCCUGGCAUGGGUGGGAACCGGGAGCUCGUUGGUAAGCAGGAGGAUUCAGGACUAUCGACUGAACCCCACCUCCUCUGUGGCACGCACCGUGCUGUGUCUUUGCAGUCAUCAUCUCAUCACCUCUGCACAGGAAGAUUAUCUCCCCCAUUUUGUGAUGAGGAAAUGGAGGCUCCAGGUGGAAAGAUGCAACCUGGGCCAGAGGCCCCUGGAGGUUGUGCCUGAACCCAGACAGAUCACACAAACCUGAGCAGCCAUUAGCCGCUGUGUGGGCUCCUUUGCACUGUGGGGCUGCUCCUGGGGAUAUUUACGUUGUGAACUGGUAAAAUCUGAACUGCAGAAUAUCAAUUUCCAGACAUUCUUCCUAGAUGAUGCCGUCUGCCACGGGGACCUCUAUCACCCAAAGGGAAACAGCCGUCUAUCUACGAAGCUGUGAUCUCCCCUACAAGCAAGAGAACUCAAUUGCCAGGAGGUCUUUGCUUUUUCUGGCUUCCAGAGAAUGCAGAAAUUUCAAGGAGCCACUAUUGGGCUCCUUCCCUAUAGGAUGUUGGGCCAGGCAACAGAACAAACCUCCUGAGGCACUUCUACCUGGGAAUGCCCUCCUGAGGCCAAUGGCAGCCCUCUGAUGAAGAUACUAUAGUAUUUAUUUUUUGUACACGCUGGUGAUCAUCCAGUGUACAUCUCUGCUUAGUGAACCUUCAUGAACUGGAGGCUGAAUAUUCUCAUCCUGCAUUGAUAGAACCACGUAGGCUGGUUCUAGGCUGUUUUCUGUGCAACACUCAACAUGACAAUAAUAAUGAUGAUGAUGCUAAUGAUGAUUGUAAAA